GAACUUGUGAUGAUCUCUUUGUUUGGAAUUACCGUCUGAGGAUUUUUCUAUCCUUUUGAUGAGAAAAAUUGGCUGUAUCUGAAGUUCUUU
rfam:Zostera marina strain Finnish scaffold_46, whole genome shotgun sequence.